GUAGGUGGCAAGCGUUGUCCGGGAAUUAUUGGGGCGUAAAGCGCGCGCAGGCGGUUCUUUAAGUCUGAUGUGAAAGCCCACGGGCUCAACCGUGGAGGGUCAUUGGAAACUGGAGAACUUGAGUACAGAAGAGGAAAGCGGAAUUCCCACGUGUAGCGGUGAAAUGCGUAGAGAUGUGGAGGAACACCAGUGGCGAAGGCGGCUUUCUGGUCUGUAACUGACGCUGAGGCGCGAAAGCGUGGGGAGCAAACAGGAUUAGAUACCCUGGUAGUCCACGCCGUAAACGAUGAGUGCUAAGUGUUAGGGGGUUUCCGCCUCUUAGUGCUGCAGCUAACGCAUUAAGCACUCCGCCUGGGGAGUACGGCCGCAAAGGCUG
rnacentral:rRNA from 1 species